rnacentral:misc_RNA from 1 species
CAAUAGCUUUCUUUGCUUGUGAAUUGCCACACUAAAGAUAAAUGAAACUAAAUCAAUUAAAUCGAGAAAGGGAAGGGGGUAUGAAAGCCUACACCAAAAGAAUGAAAUGAAUAUGAAACUACUAAUAAUACACAUACGAUGAUUCUCACGACAAGCGUGUUAUCAGCAGAGGAGACGUCUUUAUCCCUGAAUGAAUUGCCUUCAACAAUGCCACAAAAUUGAAUAGACUCUCUUCAGAGAACCAC